rnacentral:rRNA from 1 species
AACGAACGCUGGCGGCAUGCCUAACACAUGCAAGUCGAACGAGACCUUCGGGUCUAGUGGCGCACGGGUGUGUAACGCGUGGGAAUCUGCCCUUGGGUUCGGAAUAACAGUUGGAAACGACUGCUAAUACCGGAUGAUGACGUAAGUCCAAAGAUUUAUCGCCCAAGGAUGAGCCCGCGUAGGAUUAGCUAGUUGGUGAGGUAAAGGCUCACCAAGGCGACGAUCCUUAGCUGGUCUGAGAGGAUGAUCAGCCACACUGGGACUGAGACACGGCCCAGACUCCUACGGGAGGCAGCAGUGGGGAAUAUUGGACAAUGGGCGAAAGCCUGAUCCAGCAAUGCCGCGUGAGUGAUGAAGGCCUUAGGGUUGUAAAGCUCUUUUAACCGGGAUGAUAAUGACAGUACCGGGAGAAUAAGCUCCGGCUAACUCCGUG